UACGGAGGGGGCUAGCGUUGUUCGGAAUUACUGGGCGUAAAGCGCACGUAGGCGGUGCAUCUAGUCAGAGGUGAAAGGCCUGGGCUCAACCCAGGAACUGCCUUUGAUACUGGUGCGCUCGAGUCCGGGAGAGGGUAGUGGAAUUCCCAGUGUAGAGGUGAAAUUCGUAGAUAUUGGGAAGAACACCGGUUGCGAAGGCGGCUACCUGGCCCGGUACUGACGCUGAGGUGCGAAAGCGUGGGGAGCAAACAGG
rnacentral:misc_RNA from 1 species